rnacentral:rRNA from 1 species
AUUGAACGCUGGCGGAAUGCUUUACACAUGCAAGUCGAACGGCAGCACGGACUUCGGUCUGGUGGCGAGUGGCGAACGGGUGAGUAAUGUAUCGGAACGUGCCCAGUCGUGGGGGAUAACGUAGUGAAAAUUACGCUAAUACCGCAUACGAUCUAUGGAUGAAAGCGGGGGGUCGCAAGACCUCGCGCGAUUGGAGCGGCCGAUAUCAGAUUAGGUAGUUGGUGGGGUAAAGGCCCACCAAGCCAACGAUCUGUAGCUGGUCUGAGAGGACGACCAGCCACACUGGAACUGAGACACGGUACAGACUCCUACGGGAGGCAGCAGUGGGGAAUUUUGGACAAUGGGCGAAAGCCUGAUCCAGCCAUUCCGCGUGCAGGAUGAAGGCCCUCGGGUUGUAAACUGCUUUUGUACAGAACGAAAAGGUUUCUACUAAUACUAGGAGCUCAUGACGGUACUGUAAGAAUAAGCACCGGCUAACUACGUGCCAGCCGCCGCGGUAA